rnacentral:ncRNA from 1 species
AGGAUUAUUGCCUAAAGAUAAGCAAUUGAAGCUUAAAGACUACUUUAUUAAGCAAAUCAGAGCUUAUAUGAAUGGUAAAGUACCUAUUGCUACAGUUACUCAAGGCACAAGCGCAUCAAGCAACACGGCAAAACCGGUCGCAGGAGCGUGGAGACGCAAUAGUUAUGGUACUUACUAUAUGGAAGAAAAGGCGAGGUUUACGAACGGUAAUCAGCCGAUUAUGGUACGAACUGUCGGUCCGUUCACAAGUUGCCC